AUUGAACGCUGGCGGCAUGCUUUACACAUGCAAGUCGAACGGCAGCGCGGGCUUCGGCCUGGCGGCGAGUGGCGAACGGGUGAGUAAUAGAUCGGAACGUGCCCAGUAGUGGGGGAUAGCUCGGCGAAAGCCGGAUUAAUACCGCAUACGACCUGAGGGUGAAAGCGGGGGAUCUUCGGACCUCGCGCUAUUGGAGCGGCCGAUGGCAGAUUAGCUAGUUGGUGGGGUAAAGGCCUACCAAGGCGACGAUCUGUAGCUGGUCUGAGAGGACGACCAGCCACACUGGGACUGAGACACGGCCCAGACUCCUACGGGAGGCAGCAGUGGGGAAUUUUGGACAAUGGGCGAAAGCCUGAUCCAGCAAUGCCGCGUGUGUGAUGAAGGCCUUCGGGUUGUAAAGCACUUUUGGCGGGAACGAAAAGGACUGUGCCAAUACCACGGUUCGAUGACGGUACCCGCAGAAUAAGCACCGGCUAACUACGUG
rnacentral:rRNA from 1 species